CAAUAGCGUAUAUUAAAGUUGUUGCAGUUAAAAAGCUCGUAGUUGGAUUUCUGGUUGAAGCGACCGGUCGGGCGUUGAUUCGUCUGCACUGGAGUCGGUUUUGGCCAUCCUCUAGGAAAGUGCGUCUGGUAUUAAGUUAUCGGGCGUAUGAUCCUGGUCUUUUACUGUGAAAAAAUUAGAGUGUCUAAAGCAGGCCUUCGCCUUGAAUACAUUAGCAUGGAAUAAUAAGAUAGGACUUUGGUCUAUUUUGUUGGUUUGCAGACCGAAGUAAUGAUUAAUAGGGAUAGUUGGGGGUAUUUAUAUUCCGAUGUCAGAGGUGAAAUUCUUAGAUUUUCGGAAGAUAAACUUAUGCGAAAGCAUUUACCAAGGAUGUUUUCAUUAA
rnacentral:rRNA from 1 species